UUGAGGAGUAGAAUUUGCCAUACAUAUUAGUACAAGUAAUUAAAAAUGGAUUAUAGCUUGGAAGGCAUUAGAUCUCACAUUAUUUACAUUCUCACUUCUUUUAGCUCCUUUGCUUUUUUGUUCUUUUGUUUUCCAAAGAUUAAAAAUAAUGUUCCUGGCAUUUGAAUGGAAUCAAUCAAAUGUACAUUCAUGUGUAUUGAUCAAAGACCAACUUUAAUUAGUUAAAAAUCUAAUUUUUUCUAGACUAAUUAAAAGGAUAAAAUUCUCUUAUUUGAAUAAUAAGAGAAUUAAAGAGCUUAUUAAACAAAAACAGCUGCUGACAAAGUGUAGCAAAGACUGACUAGACUGGCCAGAAUUUCCUCUUCUUCCAGGACAGAUGGUUCUACGAUGUUUUAAGCCUUCCUUGUAAUAGCCGAGUGACUGGGUUCUAGCUAGUGGAAUGUGAGUGGAAGCCUUUCACCUCAGAAAACACACACAAUUCUGCAUUUCCCCUUCUGUGGCGUGGUGCAAACAUGUAUGGUGACUUUGGAAGCCACAUUUUGACGAUGGUGGAGCCGCAAGAUGAAAAGAGCCUAGAUUCCUGAAUCACCAGGUGAAGGAAUAUUGCCAAUCCAUCAGUAACAUAUUUUGGACUUUAUCAGAGCAAUAAGUAAAAUACUCUACUUUUAGAGCCAUUAUACAUUUAAUUUUUUAAUUUUCAUUGCAGUUGAUGUUGCCUGAGCCUAUAUAGAAAUUGGUACCUUGAAAAGUGGAGGUUUCUGAACAAAAAACCUUUAAGGCAUCAGGUCUUCAUCAAAAGCAGGAAGAAGUGGGAAGAGUUGGUGUCAGUCAUGUAUAUGCUUUUGUCAAGAAAGUUCAAGUUUUCUAGAACCACCCUCUACCCUUCUGAUACCUCUGUGUGUUUGCAUCUUACUUAUCAGGAUGGUGUCACAAGGCCACAACCACUAGCUGUAAGCGAGGUUGGGAAAGCCUCUCUGAUGGAGUUGGGUGAGUGUGAAGGAGUUUGGAACAGGGGUUGUGUUCAUCAAUGAACAGAGUCUGCCACAGAUGCCAUCAUCUUCAUUUGGGUGUGAACAUCUGGAUACUUCAGAAAACCAAAACCCCAGCAAAUCCAGACAAGCUCCAGAAAAGCUCCCACAACUUAGAGUAAUAUGGAUAAGAAUGGUGAAAAGAAAAUCAAUAUGGAAUUACAGUUUAGAAAUUCCAGAAGGAAAGACUGAGGCAGAUGGAGGAGAAGCGACAAUCAAUUUAACAGUGACACAGGCUCCCUGAACUGAGGAUAGAUUAUCAGAUCGAAGGAGCUCACCACAUUUGAGAUUAAUACCCACUGGGAUCACCACCAGAAGAAACCAAAGAAUGAAAACAGCAACUACUAAUGCCAGGAGGACAGAGCCCAAAUAAGAAGAAACUCCAUGUAGAGUGAAAGCUGCAGGAUGCUCUUUUUACCUUCCAUCUAUGGGAUUUGGUCAGCCUUACAAAGGUGACUCUGGACCUGUGCAAGGAGUUACUGGAUUCUGCGGUGCAUGAUAAACAGCUCUCACCUGACUGACAAAGAGCUGCUUGACUUGGGGAUGGCAGUUUCAAGGUGAACAGACAACAUCCCGAUUGGAAGGCUGCUACUCUAAUUGUAAAAAGUAUACUUUUAUCAGCAGAAUUUACCUUUCUCUCUACCUGAAUUCUCCAAAAUUUGGAAACUUUUCAUGAGUAUUCUUAUGUUAUGGCAAUGUGAUUAUUUGCAUAAGUUCUAUAAGAAUCUGUUUUCUUUUGAAACAGGACACAGUUGGAGACAUUGGUUAUUUUACCAAGGCCUGAAGUAUCUGUUUCUAGCAUCUGACCAGAGGCUGUGCUUCCCAGCCUGUCAGAAUGGCCAUGCUGCAGUCUGCAGCCCUUUAUGAGAAAUAAAGCUCUUCUUUCCAAAUGUAUGAACCUCCUCAUUCUUAGUAAAAAUUAUCAUAUGGAAAAAAAUCUAUAUAGGGAUAGAAACAAGAAAGCCAACUGGAAGUGGGGAAAACAUGUGAAGAAGAGUUAUGUUAGGGGUGGGACAUUAGCAUGAAGAUUCACGAAGAUCA